UUCCAUCUAGUGCCCAUCCUGGUGUUCGUGGUGGUGCCCUUCAUGGAGUUCCUGCUGCCUGUGGUUGUGAAGCUCUUCCCCAACAUGCUUCCCUCCACAUUUGAGACCCAGUCUAUCAAGGAAGAACGUCUGAAGCAGGAGCUUAGGGUGAAGCUGAAGCUAGCCAAGUUUCUCCAGGACACCAUAAAGGAAAUGGCCCUGAAGAACAAGGCAGCCAAAGGGAAUGCCACGAAAGAUUUCUCUGCAUUUUUCCAGAAGAUCCAGGAGAUAGGGGAGCAACCCAGCAAUGAGGAAAUAAUGCGUUUUUCCAAAUUAUAUGAGGAUGAACUGACCCUGGAUAACCUCAUGAGGCCUCAGCUGGUAGCACUGUGCAAGCUGCUGGAACUUCAGUCCAUUGGCACCAACAACUUCCUGUGUUUCCAGCUUACCAUGCGCCUGAGGUCCAUAAAGGCUGAUGAUAAAGCUGAUUUCUGAGGGAGGGGUGGACAGUCUGACUGUGAAGGAAUUGCAGGCAGCAUGUCAAGCAUGAGGCAUGCGAGCACUCGGUGUCACAGAAGACCAUCUGAAGGGCCAGCUGAAACAGUGGCUGGACUUGCACCUGCAUCAUGAGAUCCCCACAUCAUUACUCAUACUGUCCUGGGCCAUGUAUCUCCUAGACAUCCUCUCACCUGCUGACCAGCUGAAGUCCACCUUGCAGACCCUUCCAGAAAUUGUGGCAAAGGAGGCUCAGGUAAAAGUGGCAGAAGUGGAGGGUGAACAGGUAGACAACAAGGCAAAGCUGGAGGCCACACUGCAAGAAGAGGCUGCCAUCCAGCAAGAACACCUGGAAGAAUUAAAGAGAGGUGCUGAGGCUGUGAAGGACACACAGCCAGAAGUAGUAGAAGCCACUGUCCCUGGGAGGCCAGUGGCCGAGCUUCAGCCCAAGAUGGCUGAUGUGAUCCUGCCCUCAGAGGUACUGAAGGAUACAGCACCUGUUCUCGAAGGUUUGAAGGAAGAAGAGAUUACCAAGGAGGAAAUUGACAUCCUCAGUGACGCCUGCUCUAAGCUAAAGGAGCAGAAGAAGUCCCUGACCAAGGAGAAGGAGGAGCUGGGGCAGCUGAAAGAGGAUGUCCAGGACUACAGUGAGGAGAUCAAGAAGCAACUUUCAAAGACGGGUGAUGAGAAGUACAUAGAAGAAUCUAAAGGUAGCAAGAGGCUGUCAAAGUGAGUGCAGCAGAUGAUCGGGCAGAUCAAUGGCCUGAUCGCACAACUAGAGACCACUCAACAGAAUGGCAAGCUGGGCCCCCAUGAGAGCUCUCCGACAGGGGAGAGUGUCAUCAGCAUCAGUGAGCUCAUCAGCACCAUGAAGCAAAUCAAGCACAUUCCAGAACACAAGCUGAUCAGUUUGACCUCUGCCCUGGAUGAAAAUAAGGAUGGCAAUAUCGACAUCAGAUGACCUUGUUAAGGUAAUCGACUUGGUGAACAAAGAAGAUGUUCAGAUCUCUACCACCCAGGUAGUCGAAACUGUCGCCACACUAGAGAAGGAAGAAAAGAUGGAAGAGAAAGAAAAGGCCAAGGAGAAGGCUGAGAAAGAGGCUGCGGAAAUGAAGAAUAAGAGCCACCGGCUUCCAACCCACAAGGUCUGCCUUCAUUGUGCUACACCAACCACGGUGGCAUGA